rnacentral:rRNA from 1 species
AAUCAACGCUGGCGGCGUGCCUCAGACAUGCAAGUCGAACGCGAAAGGUUCCUUCGGGGACCGAGUAGAGUGGCGCACGGGUGAGUAACACGUAGGUAAUUUGCCUUUGGGUGGGGAAUAACUCAGGGAAACUUGAGCUAAUACCGCAUAAUGCAGCGGCUCGACAUCGAGACAGUUGUUAAAGCGGGGGAGUUCGCAAGAACCUCGCGCCUAAAGAAGAAGCCUGCGGCAGAUAGUCUAGUUGGUAAGGUAAUGGCUUACCAAGGCGACGAUCUGUAACCGGCCUGAGAGGGCGGUCGGUCACACUGACACUGACAUACGGGUCAGACUCCUACGGGAGGCAGCAGUCGGGAAUUUUGGG